GAAAUAAUUAAAAACUAUGAUGUCCUGUUCGGCCCAAUGACCGGUUGUGGCGCACUCAAAAUUGGAGAGGUUCGAAGGAGAGGCUGGGAAGCCGUGGCAAAUGUUCUAAACUGCCAAUUUUCCACCUAUAAGCGCGCAGGUUCAGAGGUGAAGAAAAAAUACUAUAACAUGAAAGACAAAACAAAGACAAAAAAUGAUGAGAUGAGGAGGCCAGGCACUGGAGGAGGGCCCCGGGUGAAAGAGUUCACCAUUCCGGAGGGGAUUCUUCUUCAUCA